AGAGCAGAAGCCAAGAGUUAUAUUGCACACCUGCUAUGUAACAGAUGGCAGAGAUAAAGACUGUUACAAAACAGACAAGGGUUGGGCUGCAGUGGCAGAGCACUCGCCUGCAUGAGGCCAUGUGUUUGCUCCCUAGCAUCAAAAAGAAAGGAAGAGAAAGUGUUGUUAAGAUGUACAUAGGCAAGAUAUAAAAAAAAAUGAUUAGCAGCCAUGGGGUGAAAACCCAUGAGUACAUACAUACCACUGAAGAGCCACUGCUACCCACAGCGCCCAGAGCACCUGUGCUUACCCGCAGGGCACCGUCUUGGAGUACUUCUUGUCACUAGAAUGUAGAAAACAAAAGAUGACACCAUCAUAUACUAGGGCAUGAUUCCCAAAGAGGAGCUUACAAGGACCCCUGUGCUGUGACAUGUGGAUGAAUACCCAGUGAGGAGUGGGCUCUUCAGUCAAGGAAGUGAAAAGCAUGAGGGCCAUCUUUCUGACCAUUACCUGGAUUCGGGAGGCACGGUUAAUCCUCACUCAGCUGAAGACACAGUCCUAAGCCUGUGGGAAGACACUUACUCUCUAUUAAGGGCCUGCUGUUCUCCAGGCGUCCCAGACAUCUCUUCCCAUUCCCUACCUCAUACAUUGUUGUAAAAAGUUGCUGGGCCACUGGGA